rnacentral:rRNA from 1 species
UACGGAGGAUCCGAGCGUUAUCCGGAUUUAUUGGGUUUAGAGGGAGCGUAGGCGGGUUGUUAAGUCAGUUGUGAAAGUUUGCGGCUCAACCGUAAAAUUGCAGUUGAUACUGGCAUCCUUGAGUACAGUAGAGGUAGGCGGAAUUCGUGGUGUAGCGGUGAAAUGCUUAGAUAUCACGAAGAACUCCGAUUGCGAAGGCAGCCUGCUGGACUGUAACUGACACUGAGGCUCGAAAGCGUGGGGAGCAAACAGG